rnacentral:rRNA from 1 species
AGGGUUUGAUUCUGGCUCAGGAUGAACGCUGGCGGCGUGCUUAACACAUGCAAGUCGAACGAAGCAUAAGGAACGGAUUAUUUCGGUAAGAAGUACUUUAUGACUGAGUGGCGGACGGGUGAGUAACGCGUGGAUAACCUGCCUCAUACAGGGGGAUAACAGUUAGAAAUGACUGCUAAUACCGCAUAAGCGCACAGUGCUGCAUGGCACAGUGCGAAAAGCUCCGGCGGUAUGAGAUGGAUCCGCGUUUGAUUAGCUAGUUGGUGGGGUAAAGGCCUACCAAGGCGACGAUCAAUAGCCGACCUGAGAGGGUGACCGGCCACAUUGGGACUGAGACACGGCCCAA